AUGUGUUGCUGCUAUAUGCAGGUGUAUCAAGUUUCACAAGGUCAGUGAUUAUUGAACCAUCUGGAGUCUGUACUGGAGGCAUACAGUAGGAGCGCGGCGCUGAACAGUUGAACAAAACUCAGCUUCAAUUAAUCGAAAUGCGCAUGUAGAAGCUGAUCUGCCUGAUGCUAAUACGUGAAUACAAGGAGCUCACCUCGGCUGGUGCGACGGACAUGGCGAAUGGAGUGCGAGGCAAUGGCAGUCGUGGCGCAGCAUCACCGGGAGGACGGCCUUGAGGUGCAGAGAAGAGAUAUCGGAUGAAUCAGAAACUGAAGAUGACGAUACAAUGGACACAGAAGAAGCUUCCUCUGUCCUCAUCGCCGCACUGUAGUCUUUCAGCCAUGCUCUGGUGAAUGAUGACGGAGAAAAAGAUACCGAAACUGCUCUACAGACGACAAAACAGUAGACGAUGCCAGGACGAUUAAGAAUCCGACGGCCAUGGCUUCCCUAU